rnacentral:rRNA from 1 species
AGAUUGAACGCUGGCGGCGUGCCUAACACAUGCAAGUCGAGCGGUAACAGGUGUAGCAAUACAUGCUGACGAGCGGCGAACGGGUGAGUAAUGCUUUGGAAUCUUCCCAGUAGUGGGGAAUAACCAGUCGAAAGAUUGGCUAAUACCGCAUACGUCUGUAAAGGGAAAGCGGGGGCUCGUAAGACCUCGCGCUAUUGGAUGAGCCAAAGUCGGAUUAGCUAGUUGGUGGGGUAAUGGCCUACCAAGGCGACAAUCCGUAGCUGGUCUGAGAGGACGACCAGCCACACCGGAACUGAGACACGGUCCGGACUCCUACGGGAGGCAGCAGUGGGGAAUAUUGGACAAUGGGGGAAACCCUGAUCCAGCGACGCCGCGUGUGUGAGAAGGCCUGCGGGUUGUAAGCACUUUUUAGUGGGGACAAAAGCUACGGACUAAUAUUCUGUGGUCUUGAUUUAACCCAAGAAAAGCACCGGCUAACUCUGUGCCAGCAGCCGC